rnacentral:tRNA from 1 species
GCCCGGGUGGUGGAAUUGGCAGACACGUACGUUUGAGGGGCGUAUGGGGCAACCCAUGCGGGUUCAAGUCCCGCCCCGGGCA